rnacentral:rRNA from 1 species
UAAACCUCGGAACAAGUAA